UUCAGCAGCCAUAUCACCCUGUAGCCCAAGACUAGUCACCCACUGAAGCUAAGCAGGGUUGAGCCUGGUCAGAACCCGGAUGGGUGACCUCCUGGGAAAACUAGGUUCCUGCUGGAA
ensembl:rRNA 5S_rRNA 5S ribosomal RNA